rnacentral:misc_RNA from 1 species
UAUCUAUAUAAGCAUAGGUGUUUUCUAUGGUUACUUUGAUUUUAAUUUACUUUGUUUGUACUUUGUUCUUUUAAACUUUAGAUUAGACUGAUAAUUCAUCAAAGGUAGUUAUUGACACAGUUUUACUUUGUAAAAAACCAAGUUAUGGUAAAAACUCCCAUAAGCAUAGAUUUAGACAAGGAUAAGGCGGUUCAGUUUGGAUUUCAG